ensembl:lncRNA
AGUUGUGUGGUUUCGUUUAAAUAAUAAUAAAAUCGUUUUUAUUAUAAAAUUGGUGUGGAAGGUUUUCUCUUAAAUAAGGGUUAGUGUUAAGAUGGGAUAGCCACUCGGGUUAAGGUUAGGGAAUAAGGCUAAAGGUUAAGGUAAGGAUUUAGAUAAGUGGUAGGGAUAGCUACUCGGGUUAAGGUUAGGGAAUAAGGCUAAAGGUUAAGGUUAGGAUUAAGAUUAGGUUAAGGGUUAGGAUUAAGAUUAAGAUUAAGGGUAGGGUUAGGUUAAGAGCAUUUUACCACUUUUGAAAAACGUUUUUUUUUUAGCUUUUUUUUCAUACCUUCUUUUUUCUGGGCUCGGUCCGACCCUGAAUCUGCAAGAAUUAUGUUUCUAGCCCCUUCCUAGGCCGAGAAAAUAACUUAAAACCGAUCAAAAUUUUUUUUUUUUUUUUUUUUUUUUUUCAUACCUUUUUUUUGCUGGGCUUGGUCCGACCCUGAAUCUGCAAGAAUUAUGUUUCUAGCCCCUUCCUAGGCCGAGAAAAUAGCUUAAAACCAAUUAGGGCUAGGGUUAGGGUAGGUUAAGAGCCAUCUACCACUUUUGAAAAACGGUUUUUUUGAGCUAG